rnacentral:rRNA from 1 species
GAAGACUGUGUAACUUUCAGCCCUGGAAAGUGACUUUUCUAAAUUAUCUGGAACCAUAAACCUGACACGUUUGCGUCGUAUUAGUAAUCCGAAAAUUAACUCCUGACGUUACUUCCAAACUGUUUCAUCAAUGACAGAGAUUAUAUUAAUUAACUUAAAAUGAMAGUUAAUUUUCCGAAUUUAUAACUAUUCCCUGUACUUCUUGGAUAUCUAGAAAAACUACUUAAAAUGAUAAUUAAAAUCCACAUAUUAAUAAAACACUUAAAAAUAGUAAAAUAACCCCACUUAUUCUUAUAGUUAUUACUUAUAUACUAGGAAAAAAUACCUUAUUUCUUAUUCUACGGGAUUCCUGUUCUCGUAGUAAAACAGCCUCUCAAGAAUAACUAUUAUAUCUACCGCUGGACCUUCAACCUAAUUCUUACAUACAACCACAUCCACGACUAUAAUAACUAGACAAG